GAUGAACGCUGGCGGCGUGCCUAAUACAUGCAAGUCGAGCGAACAGACGAGGAGCUUGCUCCUCUGACGUUAGCGGCGGACGGGUGAGUAACACGUGGAUAACCUACCUAUAAGACUGGGAUAACUUCGGGAAACCGGAGCUAAUACCGGAUAAUAUAUUGAACCGCAUGGUUCAAUAGUGAAAGACGGUUUUGCUGUCACUUAUAGAUGGAUCCGCGCCGCAUUAGCUAGUUGGUAAGGUAACGGCUUACCAAGGCAACGAUGCGUAGCCGACCUGAGAGGGUGAUCGCACAGACGGGAACUGAGACACGGUCCAGACUCCUACGGGAGGCAGCAGUAGGGAAUCUUCCGCAAUGGGCGAAAGCCUGACGGAGCAACGCCGCGUGAGUGAUGAAGGUCUUCGGAUCGUAGAACUCUGUUAUUAGGGAAGAACAAAUGUGUAAGUAACUAUGCACGUCUUGACGGUACCUAAUCAGAAAGCCACGGCUAACUACGUG
rnacentral:rRNA from 1 species